rnacentral:rRNA from 1 species
AUUGAACGUGACGGCAGGCGUAAUACAUGCAAGUCGAGCGGAAACGAUGAGAGCUUGCUCCCAGGCGUCGAGCGGCGGACGGGUGAGUAACGCGUAGGAAUCUACCCAGUAGCGGGGGAUAGCCCGAGGAAACUCGGAUUAAUACCGCAUACGCCCCACGGGGGAAAGGCCGGGAUCUUCGGACCGGUCACUAUUGGAGGAGCCUGCGUAGGAUUAGCUUGUUGGUGAGGUAAAGGCUCACCAAGGCGACGAUCCUUAGCUGGUCUGAGAGGACGAUCAGCCACACUGGAACUGAGACACGGUCCAGACUCCUACGGGAGGCAGCAGUAGGGAAUAUUGUGCAAUGGGCGAAAGCCUGACACAGCCAUGCCGCGUGUGUGAAGAAGGCCCUAGGGUUGUAAAGCACUUUCAGUAGGGAGGAAUUAGUAGGGUUAAUAAGCCUACGAAGUGACGUUACCUACAGAAGAAGCACCGGCAAACUCCGUGCCAGCAGCCGCGGUAAUACGGAGGGUGCGAACGUUAAUCGGAAUUACUGGGCGUAAAGCGCGCGUAGGUGGUUUAUUAAGUGGGAUGUGAAAGCCCCGGGCUUAACCUGGGAACUGCAUUCCAAACUGAUGAACUAGAGUACGAUAGAGGGGGGUAGAAUUCAGAGUGUAGCGGUGAAAUGCGUAGAUAUUCUGAGGAAUACCGGUGGCGAAGGCGGCCCCCUGGAUUGAUACUGACACUGAG